rnacentral:rRNA from 1 species
CCAGAUUAAAGUUUGAUCCUGGCUCAGGAUGAAAACAGGGGGCGUGCUUAACACAUGCAAGUCGAACGAAGCAUUUAUUUGGAAAUUUACGGAUGAAAGAAUAAAUGACUUAGUGGCGGACGGGUGAGUAACGCGUGGAUAACCCGCCUUAUACAGGGGGAUAACGGAGAGAAAUUUCCGCUAAGACCGCAUAAGACCACAGCACCGCAUGGUGCAGGGGUAAAAUAUUAAUAGGUAUAAGAUGGAUCCGCGUCCGAUUAGCUUGUUGGCGGGGUAGAGGCCCACCAAGGCGACGAUCGGUAGCCGGCCUGAGAGGGUGAACGGCCACAUUGGGACUGAGACACGGCCCAAACUCCUACGGGAGGCAGCAGUGGGGAAUAUUGGACAAUGGGGGGAACCCUGAUCCAGCGACGCCGCGUGAGUGAAGAAGUAUUUCGGUAUGUAAAGCUCUAUCAGCAGGGAAGAAAAUGACGGUACCUGACUAAGAAGCCCCGGCUAACUACGUGCCAGCAGCCGCGGUAAUACGUAGGGGGCAAGCGUUAUCCGGAUUUACUGGGUGUAAAGGGAGCGCAGAUGGCGAUGCAAGUCUGAAGUGAAAGGCGUGGGCUCAACUCACGAACUGCUUUGGAAACUGUAUGGCUUGAGUGUCGGAGGGGUA